rnacentral:rRNA from 1 species
UUAAAUUGAAGAGUUUGAUCAUGGCUCAGAUUGAACGCUGGCGGCAGGCCUAACACAUGCAAGUCGAACGGUAACAGGAAGCAGCUUGCUGUUUCGCUGACGAGUGGCGGACGGGUGAGUAAUGUCUGGGAAACUGCCUGAUGGAGGGGGAUAACUACUGGAAACGGUAGCUAAUACCGCAUAACGUCGCAAGACCAAAGAGGGGGACCUUCGGGCCUCUUGCCAUCGGAUGUGCCCAGAUGGGAUUAGCUUGUUGGUGGGGUAACGGCUCACCAAGGCGACGAUCCCUAGCUGGUCUGAGAGGAUGACCAGCCACACUGGAACUGAGACACGGUCCAGACUCCUACGGGAGGCAGCAGUGGGGAAUAUUGCACAAUGGGCGCAAGCCUGAUGCAGCCAUGCCGCGUGUAUGAAGAAGGCCUUCGGGUUGUAAAGUACUUUCAGCGGGGAGGAAGGGAGUAAAGUUAAUACCUUUGCUCAUUGACGUUACCCGCAGAAGAAGCACCGGCUAACUCCGUGCCAGCAGCCGCGGUAAUACGGAGGGUGCAAGCGUUAAUCGGAAUUACUGGGCGUAAAGCGCACGCAGGCGGUUUGUUAAGUCAGAUGUGAAAUCCCCGGGCUCAACCUGGGAACUGCAUCUGAUACUGGCAAGCUUGAGUCUCGUAGAGGGGGGUAGAAUUCCAGGUGUAGCGGUGAAAUGCGUAGAGAUCUGGAGGAAUACCGGUGGCGAAGGCGGCCCCCUGGACGAAGACUGACGCUCAGGUGCGAAAGCGUGGGGAGCAAACAGGAUUAGAUACCCUGGUAGUCCACGCCGUAAACGAUGUCGACUUGGAGGUUGUGCCCUUGAGGCGUGGCUUCCGGAGCUAACGCGUUAAGUCGACCGCCUGGGGAGUACGGCCGCAAGGUUAAAACUCAAAUGAAUUGACGGGGGCCCGCACAAGCGGUGGAGCAUGUGGUUUAAUUCGAUGCAACGCGAAGAACCUUACCUGGUCUUGACAUCCACAGAACUUUCCAGAGAUGGAUUGGUGCCUUCGGGAACUGUGAGACAGGUGCUGCAUGGCUGUCGUCAGCUCGUGUUGUGAAAUGUUGGGUUAAGUCCCGCAACGAGCGCAACCCUUAUCCUUUGUUGCCAGCGGUCCGGCCGGGAACUCAAAGGAGACUGCCAGUGAUAAACUGGAGGAAGGUGGGGAUGACGUCAAGUCAUCAUGGCCCUUACGACCAGGGCUACACACGUGCUACAAUGGCGCAUACAAAGAGAAGCGACCUCGCGAGAGCAAGCGGACCUCAUAAAGUGCGUCGUAGUCCGGAUUGGAGUCUGCAACUCGACUCCAUGAAGUCGGAAUCGCUAGUAAUCGUGGAUCAGAAUGCCACGGUGAAUACGUUCCCGGGCCUUGUACACACCGCCCGUCACACCAUGGGAGUGGGUUGCAAAAGAAGUAGGUAGCUUAACCUUCGGGAGGGCGCUUACCACUUUGUGAUUCAUGACUGGGGUGAAGUCGUAACAAGGUAACCGUAGGGGAACCUGCGGUUGGAUCACCUCCUUACCUUAAAGAAGC